AGGGUUUCUGGCGAGGGGAGAAGAUGCUGAGUAGCUGAUCAGAAGAUGCCCCUUGCUGGUUUCUAGGUUGCUCUUUUAUAGCUGAAGAAUUCCAUCCAUCUAGGGUUUUGAAAUCCCUUUUUGAUUUGGUGUUUGAUUCCUCUUUUGAUGUUGAAUUUAAUUGCAAUUGGAAUUCCUUAGGCGAGAAGCUCUUUCGUGGCUCUUGGAACUGUGUUGAUAGUGAUUGAGUUGGAUUUGGACUUCUAAAAAUUCGAAUUUCUGUUUUCUGCACAAUUUCCCGCUCUGCUGUCAAUUUCUGCUGUCAAGGUGAUUGGGGCGGGUGAUUUGGGCAAAUCACUUGUCCCAAUCGCCCCAAUCGCUUUCUGUGAGUUAGUCCAAUUUUUAGCUCUCUGUCUCUGCGAGUGAUUUGGCCAGUUUCUACGAGUGAUUUGGGCAAAUCACUGGCCCAAUCACUUUUCUGUCAUUUUCUGCACUUUUUCUCCAAUUUUACAAUUUCUCCCUUUUCUGCAAAAACAAGAUAAAAACCAUAGAUUAAGCUGAAAAAUGUGUAAAUAAGCAAUAAUAAAGAUAAUAAAAAUGUGGCUAAUUUGUGCUUGAUCAAAUACUCCCACACCUAGCCUUUUGCUUGUCCUCAAGCAACAAACAACUUAGCC
rnacentral:lncRNA from 1 species